AAGCCAAGUGAUCUGGUUCUGGGGAUGCUUUCAUAUCUUAAUGCUCAAGCUAGUUUGCUGCACAUCAUCUUCCAGAGGGCACCAAAGUGAACAUCAUAGCAGUAAGAUUACUCCUUCACUAUGUAUCAAGAAACCUCUGACAAGGCUCAGCACAGAAGGCUUGUCUCCACUCCAUACAGCAUCAGCUGGGCGGGCUUGACUGGAGGAUCUGCUCUGAGAUGGCUCACUCAUAUGGCUGGCAAGUUGGGGAUGACUGCAGGCCAGAGCUCAGCCAAGGCUGUGG